rnacentral:rRNA from 1 species
UACGUAGGGGGCAAGCGUUGUUCGGAUUCACUGGGCGUAAAGGGUGCGUAGGCGGUCGGGUAAGUCUGAUGUGAAAUCUCACAGCUUAACUGUGAAACUGCAUUGGAUACUAUUCGGCUUGAGAGUUGGAGGGGGGACUGGAAUUCUUGGUGUAGCAGUGAAAUGCGUAGAUAUCAAGAGGAACACCAGUGGCGAAGGCGAGUCCCUGGACAACUUCUGACGCUGAGGCACGAAAGCUAGGGGAGCAAACAGG